rnacentral:rRNA from 1 species
UACGGAGGAUCCGAGCGUUAUCCGGAUUUAUUGGGUUUAAAGGGAGCGUAGGUUGACGUAUAAGUCAGCUGUGAAAGUUUACGGCUCAACCGUGAAAUUGCAGUUAAUACUGUAUGUCUGGAGUGUACAAGAGGUGGGCGGAAUUCGUGGUGUAGCGGUGAAAUGCUUAGAUAUCACGAAGAACUCCAAUUGCGAAGGCAGCUCACUGGGGUACAACUGACACUGAGGCUCGAAAGUGUGGGUAUCAAACAGGAUUAGAUACCCUGGUAGUCCACACAGUAAACGAUGAAUACUCGCUGUUUGCUAUAUACAGUAAGCGGCCAAGCGAAAGCAUUAAGUAUUCCACCUGGGGAGUACGCCGGCAACGGUGAA